UACGGAAAGGGUAGGUACAAUACGCUGACGUCACGCAUCUGAGCCUCCGGUGGGAGGAAACCCGGAAGUAUCGCCGUGAAUCACAUGAGAGUUGUGAAUGCGAUGUUGUGUAUUAGGCUGUACAUAAUAUUAACGGAAAGAGAGUGAUAAUAUAUAACCUUUCAUCGCUUCCGAAGUGACUAAAAGGGAUAUUGGACCUUAUUUUCAGAUUACAGACAACACGAGAGGGUGCUUCAAACUUUUUAAUCAGGACUGCAUUGUUUGUUCGCUCCCGGGGUUACAUAGACUGAAACGAGGAAGUGUGACGAGUUUGUUUACAUGGUGCUGUAAACUUCAACCCAGGAGGACACUUCAAAGGAAUCAAGGUGUCUGUGAUAUUGAAACACUAAAGGAAGAAGAGGAGGACCACCAUUCGUUUCCUGAGCAGAAAAAAAAUUAAGCAUAUCUAACAGUGGUUCUGGGGCAUUGCAAGACUAUGGUUACCUGGAAACAUCUCCUAUUAUGGAAGAUUAUCGCAACAUUUGUGUCUUGGAUCAUUUUUUCUUGUUUCUCUGCCACAGAUUUAGCUGUAAGGUUUAAAGGUCCCGUUUAUCCUGAUCCCAUUUUUUAAACUUUAGUUGGUGUGUAAUGUUGCUGUUAGAGCAUAAAUAAUAUCUGUAAAAUUAUAAAGCUCAAAAUUCUAUACCAAGCGAUAUAUUUUCUUUAAUAGAAUUUCCCUUUCAAAGCCUAUAGCAAACGGCCAGUUUGGACUACAGCCCUCUACUUCUCGAUUGAAUGACAUCCAAAGAAGAGUUUUUUACUAACCUCUGCCCACUGGAAUAUGUCAGUCGCCAGCUAAACUCAAGUGGCUCUACCAAGCUGCUGUUGAAUCACAGCACACUAAACAAACUACAUAAUCAGAACUCGAUAGGUAUUUCUGAAGGAGGGACUUUAUAGAACAAGGAAGACAUCAGCUCGUUUUUAGUAAAGUAAAAACAGCGCUAGAGAGUAUGUGAAAAAUAUUGUCUUUUUUUACACACAAAACAUGAACACACGCUAUAUUGCACACCAUAAACACAAUCAUAGUUUGUGUUAAAUACUCUCAUUCUCACGGCACCCAUUCACGGCAGAGGAUCCCAUUGUAAGCAAUGUAAUGCUUAAUUUCUCCAAAUCUGUUCCAGUGAAAAAACAAACCAUCUAUAUCUUGGGUGAAAAAUUACUUUAAUCCCAAAAACAAACGUUUUUC